rnacentral:tRNA from 1 species
GUAAAAAUAAGCUAAUCAAGCUUUUAGGUUCAUACCCUAACUAUAAAGAUUAUAAUUCUUUUUUUUAUA